rnacentral:rRNA from 2 species
UUUGAUCCUGGCUCAGGACGAACGCUGGCGGCGUGCCUAAUACAUGCAAGUCGAGCGGACAGAUGGGAGCUUGCUCCCUGAUGUUAGCGGCGGACGGGUGAGUAACACGUGGGUAACCUGCCUGUAAGACUGGGAUAACUCCGGGAAACCGGGGCUAAUACCGGAUGCUUAUUUGAACCGCAUGGUUCAAANAUAAAAGGUGGCUUCGGCUACCACUUACAGAUGGACCCGCGGCGCAUUAGCUAGUUGGUGAGGUAACGGCUCACCAAGGCAACGAUGCGUAGCCGACCUGAGAGGGUGAUCGGCCACACUGGGACUGAGACACGGCCCAGACUCCUACGGGAGGCAGCAGUAGGGAAUCUUCCGCAAUGGACGAAAGUCUGACGGAGCAACGCCGCGUGAGUGAUGAAGGUUUUCGGAUCGUAAAGCUCUGUUGUUAGGGAAGAACAAGUACCGUUCGAAUAGGGCGGUACCUUGACGGUACCUAACCAGAAAGCCACGGCUAACUACGUGCCAGCAGCCGCGGUAAUACGUAGGUGGCAAGCGUUGUCCGGAAUUAUUGGGCGUAAAGGGCUCGCAGGCGGUUUCUUAAGUCUGAUGUGAAAGCCCCCGGCUCAACCGGGGAGGGUCAUUGGAAACUGGGGAACUUGAGUGCAGAAGAGGAGAGUGGAAUUCCACGUGUAGCGGUGAAAUGCGUAGAGAUGUGGAGGAACACCAGUGGCGAAGGCGACUNU